CAUAGAACUUUUCUAAGUCAGUCAUUCUGAAUAUCUAGAUAUAGAAGUUAAGCUUAUGUUGAAGUACGGCUGAACUCCACAUAGAAGACAUUUAUUUGAUUACAGUGUUGGUCGACCUGAAUGCACUAUGUUAAAAUCAGCUGUUGUCAGUACUUUUUUACAGGUUAUAUUUCUAUUAUUAUUAUUUACUGACUAUAACUUUUCUAUACCUGCUUGAAAUAUUUCUAGUGAUAUUUGCAGACCGUCUUUCUUGUUACGGUUAAUUUUUAAUUCUAGUUCUGAGUAGUCGUCAGAUCUCAGUAGACCAUGUCAAAGCGACUCUGUCCUUUUACCGAAAACGUGCACCCCAUUAAAAAGCAGGAGAUUAAUAUGGGAGGAAAAGGCCGCAGAAUUAUGUCUCCGUCGUCUGAGAGAGCAUUACAACUGUUGUUUAUAGGGGCUUCCAAUCAUUUCAGCGCCAAAUUGGCGAAAGAUAGUACUGAAACUAGGAAAUCAUCAUCUCACUCAAUAAUUUGUAGUCAGUGUACCAAAGUGGGAGAGUGUGAUGUAAAAUGCUGUUAUUGUGACAAACUGCUAUGCUGUGAUUGCUGUGAAAAUUGUGAGAAAUGCGACCAACAAUUUUGUACAAAGUGUGCCUUUAAUCUUACCGACAAAGGUUACAGCAUAUGCUACUCUUGCUAUUAAAUGUUUCAAUGUCUGAUAACUAAAAGGCAAAUGUUAAAAGCUAUAGCUAUUCACGCAUAUGUUUGCAUUUGUGUGACUGGGGUUGUUUUUAUAAAUAGUGGAAAGUUUUAUGAGUUGUUCGAAUAUAAUCUGCAUAUCUGCAACCUUUUUUUUUUAUUUGUUAUUCCGAUUUGGGACAGGGUUUAGUUAUAACUUGAUUGACAACAAAACAUUGAUUUAUUUCCUUAGGAAAACUGUAGAGCGUUAAGAAAAAACUGCCAAAAUACAAUAUUUUGGCAUUAACACCCUUAUUAUUGCUGAAAUCGUUCGUGAAAAGUUUUGAUUAUGAUGUUAUGUUAUGUUAUGACAUGAUUAUGUUAUGUUAUUGUUUGAUAAAUGUUCAUUCAAAUCAGCUACUUAAAGCGUUUUAAAGCUAUUUAACUGAACUCCCUGCAUCUUGGAAAUGAAACGCGUCCAAACCCAUAUUUAUAUUCAAUUUUCUCAAAUUCAAAUAUUUCAAGAUUCCCUUUUUUUAACUUCAAACCUACAUCGGCAACUAUUGUAUAUAGGGUGUCCCAAUGUUUUUUGUGAUUUUUUCUGACGAUCUGCGCUAACAGGAAAUUUCGUAUUCUUUAAAACUGAAAAUGAAAUAUUUUUUGAAAUAGAAUCUACGAUUAAUUAACACAUAAUUGUAGAAUCUAUUUCUGGGGGUCAUUUACAGAGUAGAUCCCCGUAAACAUGUGGCUAACUGUGACAACUAAUGUUGUCUAAGCAUUAUUGUAAUUACAUCAACGAUUUGUUUCAAAUAAUAUAAAAACGUAAAAAAUUGUGA